rnacentral:rRNA from 1 species
UACGUAGGGGGCUAGCGUUGUCCGGAAUCAUUGGGCGUAAAGCGCACGUAGGCGGAUGUGUCAGUCAGGGGUGAAAUCCCGGAGCUCAACUUCGGAACUGCCUUUGAUACAGCACGUCUUGAGUCCGAUAGAGGUGGGUGGAAUUCCUAGUGUAGAGGUGAAAUUCGUAGAUAUUCGCAAGAACACCAGUGGCGAAGGCGGACUCACUGGCCCGAUACUGACGCUGAGGCACGAAAGCGUGGGGAGCAAACAGGG